GCUACAAGUGAGACACCCCUGGGGAGACCCGACCCCAUGGCUUCCCUGAAGAGCCCCUGGUGGCUGCUAAUGUGGCUGGUCUUCAUGCACUCUGCCCUCCUGCAGACCACAGCAGAGAAGUCUCCUGGGGCCUACUUCCUUCCUGAGUUUGCACUUUCCCCUCAGGGGAGUUUUCUGGAGGACACGACCGGGGAGCAGUUCCUCACGUAUCGCUAUGACGACCAGACCUCAAGAAACACUCGUUCAGAUGAAGAGAAAGAUAGCAACUGGGACGCUUGGGGAGACUGGAGUGACUGCUCGAGGACUUGUGGGGGAGGAGCCUCAUAUUCUCUGCGGAGAUGUUUGACUGGCAGGAAUUGUGAAGGGCAGAAUAUUCGGUACAAGACAUGCAGCAAUAAUGACUGCCCUCCGGAUGCAGAGGACUUCCGAGCCCAGCAGUGUUCAGCCUACAAUGAUGUUCAGUACCAGGGACGUUAUUAUGAAUGGCUUCCACAGUACAACGACCCUGCCACCCCCUGCGCGCUCAGGUGUCAGGCCCGGGGACAAAACUUGGUGGUGGAGCUGGCACCCAAAGUCCUGGAUGGGACACGGUGCACUGCUGACUCCUUGGACAUGUGUAUCAGUGGCAUCUGCCAGGCAGUGGGCUGCGACCGGCAACUGGGGAGCAACGCUAAGGAGGACAACUGUGGUGUCUGUGCUGGUGACGGUGCCACCUGCAGGCUGGUGCGGGGACAGUCAAAGUCACACGUGUCUCCUGAAAAAAGGGAAGAAAAUGUAAUUGCUGUUCCUUUGGGAAGUCGAAGUGUGAGAAUUACAGUGAAAGGACCUGCACAUCUCUUUAUUGAAUCAAAAACACUUCAAGGAAGCAAAGGAGAGCACAGCUUUAACAGCCCUGGAGUUUUUGUUGUAGAAAACACAACAGUGGAAUUUCAGAAGGGCUCAGAGAGGCAGACCUUUAAGAUUCCAGGACCUCUGAUGGCUGAUUUCAUCUUCAAGACCAGGUACACUGUGGCUAAGGACAGUGUGGUCCAGUUCUUCUUCUACCAGCCAAUCAGCCAUCAGUGGAGACAAACUGACUUCUUUCCCUGCACUGUGACAUGUGGAGGAGGGUAUCAGCUCAAUUCUGCUGAAUGCGUGGAUAUCCGCUUGAAGAGGGUGGUUCCUGACCAUUAUUGCCAUUACUACCCUGAAAAUGUGAAACCAAAACCCAAACUGAAGGAAUGCAGCAUGGAUCCUUGCCCAUCAAGCGAUGGAUUUAAAGAGAUCAUGCCCUAUGACCACUUCCAGCCUCUCCCUCGCUGGGAACAUAACCCUUGGACUGCAUGUUCAGUGUCUUGUGGAGGCGGGAUUCAGAGACGGACCUUUGUGUGUGUGGAAGAGUCCAUGCAUGGAGAGAUACUUCAAGUGGAAGAAUGGAAGUGCAUGUAUGCACCCAAACCCAAGGUGAUGCAAACCUGCAAUCUGUUUGACUGUCCCAAGUGGAUUGCCAUGGAGUGGUCUCAGUGCACAGUGACUUGUGGCCGAGGGUUACGUUAUCGAGUUGUGCUGUGCAUCAACCACCGUGGGCAGCACGUUGGCGGCUGUAACCCACAACUGAAGUUACACAUCAAAGAAGAAUGUAUCAUUCCCAUCCCCUGUUAUAAACCAAAAGAAAAAAGCCCAGUGGAAGCUAAAUCACCUUGGCUGAAGCAAGCUCAAGAACUAGAAGAGACCAGAAUAGCAACAGAAGAACCAACGUUCGUUCCGGAGCCGUGGUCCACCUGCAGUGCCACAUGUGGGCCAGGUGUUCAGGUGCGAGAGGUGAAGUGCCGCGUGCUCCUGACCUUCACGCAAACUGAGACCGAGCUGCCAGAGGAAGAGUGUGAGGGCCCCCGGCUGCCCACAGAGCGGCCCUGCCUCCUGCAGCCCUGUGAUGAGAGCCCUGCAGCCCGAGAGCUGGCCGCCUCCCUGCAGGAGCAGGACAGUGAGACGACCUACGACUGGGAAUACGCUGGCUUCACCCCCUGCACCGCCACCUGUUUGGGAGGCCAUCAAGAAGCCAUUGCAGUGUGCUUACACCUGCAGACCCAGCAGACGGUCAAUGACACCUUGUGUGAUAUGGUCCACCGCCCUCCGGCAAUGAGCCAGGCUUGUAACACAGAGCCCUGCCCACCCAGGUGGCACAUGGGCUCUUGGGGACCCUGCUCAGCUACCUGUGGUGUUGGCAUCCAGACUCGAGAAGUGUACUGCCUGCACCCUGGGGAGUCCCCCUCCCCACCUGAGGAAUGCAGAGAUGAGAAACCCCAUGCCUUACAAGCAUGCAACCAGUUUGACUGCCCUCCUAGCUGGCAUAUUGAAGAGUGGCAGCAGUGUUCCAGGACCUGCGGAGGGGGAACGCAGAAUCGCAGGGUCACCUGUCGGCAGCUCUUAACGGAUGGCAGCUUCUUGAAUCUCUCCGAGGAACUGUGCCAAGGACCCAAGGCCUCAUCCCGUAAGUCCUGUGCCAGGACAGACUGUCCUCCACACUGGACUGUGGGAGACUGGUCCAAGUGUUCUGUCAGUUGUGGUGUUGGAACCCAGCGGAGACAGCAGACGUGCCAGAAGCUGACGGCCAAAGGCCGUCGGGUCCCCCUCAGUGACACUCUGUGCCGGCAUCUUUCUGGACCCCCUCUGGUGAGAUCUUGCCAGAUGCCUUUGUGCAAGAAAAUGAAACCAGAGAUGAAGGCCAGAGUCAGGGAGCAGGGUCCUCAGAUCCUCGGUGUCCAGAGAGUCUACAUCCAGACAAGGGAAGAGAAACGCAUUAACCUGACCAUCGGGAGCAGAGCAUACCUGCUUCCCAACACAUCUGUGAUUAUUAAGUGCCCAGUGCGACGAUUCCAGAAAUCUCGGAUACAGUGGGAGAAGGACGGCCGUUGUCUGCAGAACUCCAAGCGACUUGGCUUCACAAAGUCAGGCUCACUGAAGAUUCACAGCCUUGCGGCCCUUGACAUUGGUGAGUACCGGUGCAUCGCAGGCCCCGCACAGGAGACUGUGGUGCUUAAGCUCAUUGGCACCGACAACCGGCUCAUUGCACCCCCAGCCCUUGGAGGGCACACCAGGGAAUAUCCUGGGAUGGACAACAAUGAGGCCAAUAAUUUGGGAGCCACAUGGCAUAAGAUGAGGCUGAUGUGGAACAACAAAAACGAGCUUUAUCUGCACAAUGGCCAAAUUAACAAUCAGUCUCUCUUGAGAGCUCUGUUGGGCCACUGCAGCCCUUCUGCAGGAAACGCCAACUCCUGGGAGUUUGAAAACAAGCAGUUUGAAGCAGCAGUUAAACAGGGAGCCUAUAGCAUGGAGACCGCCCAGUUUGAUGAGUUGAUCAGGAACAUGAGCCAGCUCAUGGAAACGGGGGAGAUCAGCGAUGAUCUGGCAUCCCAGGUGAUAUAUCAGCUGGUGGCCGAGUUAACCAAGACGCAGCCUGCACAUGCACACUGGAGGGGCAUCCCUGGAGAGGCUCCUCCCAUGGCUCAGCUAAGGGGGGAGACUGGAAGUGUGCCCCAAAGCUCGAACUCCAAAAACUCAGGCAAGCUGACAUUCAAGCCAAAGGGACCUGUCCUCUUGAGGCAGAGCCAACCCACCUUGAUUUCCUUUAAUAAAACAGUAAAUUCAAGGAUUGGAAAUACAGUCUACAUUACAAGAAGGACGGAGGUCAUCAACAUACUGUGUGAGCUUGUCACCCGCAGUGAGGCCACCUAUACGUGGACCAAGGAUGGAGCACUGUUACAACCCUCAGAAAAAGUCAUUUUGGAUGGAAUGGGGAAAAUGCAGAUUCGGAAACCUACAAAGAAAGACCAAGGAAUAUAUGGAUGUGCUGUAGCUAAUCAUCUCGGUUCAGAUGUGGAAAGUUCUUCUGUGCUAUAUGCAGAGGCUCCUGUCAUCUUGUCUGUUGGAAGAAACAUCACCAGACCAGAGCAUGGCCAUCUCUCCGUUGUGAUUGGCGGCUUCGUGGAGGCACCCCUGCAAGCAAAUGUGACCAUACAGUGUCCUGUAAAAGGUGUCCCUCAGCCUAAUGUAACUUGGUUGAAGAAAGGAGGAUCUCUGAGUGACAAUAUUUCCUUGCUUUUCAAUGGAUCCCUGUUGUUGCAGAACCUUUCCCUUGAAAAUGAAGGAACCUAUGUCUGCACAGCCACCAAUGCUCUUGGAAAGGCAAUGGCAACAUCCGUCCUCCACUUGCUGGAGACUUUCUGGGAGCUUGGCAACUGGACUCAUUGUUCUGCCACGUGCGGCCACUUGGGAGCCCAAGUUCAGAGACCCCAGUGCCUGAUGGCCAACGGGCAGGAAGUGAGCGAGGCCUUCUGUGACCAGCUCCGCAAGCCACGGGCUGCGUUCCAGCCCUGUAACAUCCGGGACUGCCCCCCAAGGUGGCUCACAGGCGCGUGGUCAGAGUGCUCUGUGUCUUGUGGUGAAGGAUUCCGCAGUCGGCAAGUGACAUGUAAGCGCACAAGAGCCAAUGGAACGGUGCAGGCAUUGCCACCGAGAGUGUGCAUCCUCAGAGACAGGCCUCUGGGGAGAAGACCGUGUUCCAGUCACCCCUGUGUUCAAGGGCUCUUCGAACAAGGGAACCAGCCCAUUGUUCGGAGGAACUGCUUGCUGGGAGCUUGUGACGCGUGUUGGCGUGCAGGCCCUUGGAAGCCCUGCACCACAGCCUGUGGCCGAGGCUUCCAGUCUCGGAAAGUUGACUGUGUCCACCCAGGGAGCUGCAAGCCCGUGACUAAGACACGCUGUGCACCGGGAAAGAAACCCGCUUCCUGGCAGCACUGCCUGGGGCCUUCCUGUGACAGAGACUGCACAGACACAACUCACUACUGUACGUUUGUAAAGCAUCUUCAUUUGUGUUCGCUAGACCGCUACAAACAAAGGUGCUGUCAGUCGUGUCAAGAAGGAUAA
rnacentral:lncRNA from 1 species